rnacentral:lncRNA from 1 species
UUUUUGUUCUUGCUAGCAUGUUUUUGCCUACUUUGUUUAAAACUCAUAUCCUCUCUUUCUUCUGAUUCUAUUUGAAACCCUAAGAUUUGGGGAUUUUCUUUGACGAAUGGCACUAGGGUUUCACUUUGGGACCCUAGCCUUUCAGACUCACUGUGAGCCUGUAAUUGAACUUGAAAUCAUGUUUGCCUGUGACUCUGAAACUUUCAAUAUUAGACUCUUUCUUUGUUUAAACUGUAUGCUUUAUAUAUGAGAAAAGCUCCUCUUUCAAAGGGUUUUAACCAACCAAGUGAUUGAUUCUGAAAUUCCUUUAAUAAGGUUAAUGAUUUGUCACUGAUUUCUUUCGUUUGAACCUCCUUUACCCCACUGGUUGUUCACUUGGGUUUUUAUGCAGAAAUCCCAUACUUGUGAUGUUUUCCUUAAAUACAUG